rnacentral:ribozyme from 1 species
GCGCGCGCGGCGUUCCGUUUUGGCGAGCCCAACGACUUACCCCGGGGCCCGACGACUUACCCUACGACUUACAAUCGGCGCCAGCGACUUAAAAACGGGUUACUUUUUUCGUUACGUCGAACCCCUCACUGCGUACUACAGCACAAGGAGGGUCACUACCACUGAUGAU